GACCACGUAGCUCAGUUGGCAGAGCAUUGGGCUAGUAUUCCAAAGGUCGUAGGUUCGAUUCCCACCAUGGCCA
rnacentral:tRNA from 1 species